GAAAGGAUACGUAUGUGCUUCCUAUUUCAUACUUUAUCUCAUCAAACUUUGUGCAUGCUUUCUUUAUCUUUUCGCGGAGAGGCUUGUUGUGGCCAUCGUUUACCUUGUUUCGAUUUGAGUUUUCUGUUGGCUAGCGUGGUUUUCUCUUCGAUUGUUUCAUUGUCCGGAUAGAUCUUGUCAAGUGCAAUAUGAAAGAGGAAUCACUCAGUUUGCCGAUCAGUUGAGGAAUCGGAGAAGGCGCAAACCCUUGCUCAUCACCCCACCGAUCCCAGAUCUGCUUAUCUCGGCAAGAGGGGGUAGAGGUUCAAUCGACGUUAAUGGAGCUGAAGGAGAAGGUGUGGAUUCGAUUUGAUGCAGUGGUAGCUGGAAAGAAAGGAUACGUUUAUUCGAUUCGAUUUGAUGCAACGGUAGCUAGGAAGAAUUGAAUCCCAAAACGAUCUUGGUAAGCGUUCAGGUCAUUGGUCGGAAUUCCGUCUGAUCUCUGUAAGCGGAGGCCAUUUGUUUAGCACGGUGGGGAACGAUGGUCGGAGUGGCGAGCUCCGAUGGAAGUGCAUACUAAAAAGUGCAUCAAAAUCAAAAGCAAAACCAUGCAAACAGACACUUAAAAGGCUCCUUGAUAUACAAUUUAAUAACAAUCGAUUUCAACUACCCAAGUAGAGAAAUGAUUUAUCUGCAAUUGAACAAUGGAAGCUUCAAAUAUAACCGCGCAGGGAAGCUUCAGAUCAAUCAUAUGUGAAUCGUACUUUUGUGUUGCUAUCGAAAUGAUCC
rnacentral:lncRNA from 1 species